AUGUUUAAGCAUCAUUUGAUCUGCUAAUUUCAUUCUCAAAGAAACAGUGAUACCCGUCAGCUGUAUUAUGCUGAGGUGAAGGGGAGAGUUUUGAGAUCUGAGUGCUUUGAGCAGGAAGGACUGUACUUCCAGCUGGCUGCCUACGCCCUUCAAGCUGAUCUUGGAGAUUGCGAAGAAAACUUAGCAUACUUUAGCCCACAGGGAUUUUUCCCUUUUUGGAUUGUACAGAAGCAUGGGAAUGAUUAUAUCCUGAAGCACACCCCAGCCCUGCACAGGGAGCUUAAAGGAAUGUCAUCCAGCGAGGCUGCCUUGCUUUUCAUUCAGGAAGCGUUUACCUUGAGUGAUGUGCCUCUCACCAUCUAUAGAUUGUCCAAAGAAAAGAAAAAAACACAAGGUUGUGUCCUCGUGGGUGUGACAUCUACAGGACUGCAGAUCUUUGAGGU